rnacentral:rRNA from 1 species
UACGUAGGGGCCGAGCGUUGUCCGGAGUUAUUGGGCGUAAAGCGCGCGCAGGCGGCUUGGCGCGCCCGACGUGAAAGCCCCCGGCUUAACCGGGUAGGGUCGUCGGGUACGGCCAGGCUUGAGGGCGGGAGAGGGUGGUGGAAUUCCCGGUGUAGUGGUGAAAUGCGUAGAGAUCGGGAGGAACACCUGUGGCGAAGGCGGCCACCUGGGCCGACCCUGACGCUGAGGCGCGAAGGCGUGGGGAGCGAACGGG